GGGCGAUUAGCUCAGGGGAAGAGCGCUUGCUUCACACGCAAGAAGUCGCAGGUUCAAAUCCUGCAUCGCCCACCA
rnacentral:tRNA from 1 species